GGAUCAGGUAGGAAUACCCGCUGAACUUAAGCAUAUCAAUAAGCGGAAGGA
rnacentral:rRNA from 1 species